AAGGGCUCCUGGGAUUGAAUCUUAAGUACAGAGAAAACCUAAGAAUGCUUUUAGAUAGACAGAUAAGAGACCAGUAGAGAAGAGCAGAUUGAAGGUAUGUGUGAGAAACGUUAUGUAAUGAAAAGAUAAUUGAUGACACACACUUCCAGAGGGUGCUGGCGAGAUUGAUUCAAAAGCACACGGCUAGGGCACUGAGUAACGAGAAAGAAGUUGCAGAUGAAGGAUAAAUGGACAGGAAUAAGAAAGGGCUUCAUCAUUUAAGAAUCUGAAAGAGACAAAAAGACAGAAGAAGGAGAUGCCAGUGACAAGCAAAGUAACUCCCCCACGGCAUGGGAAGAGCCAGCAUCUGCUGCUGUCCAGGAAUACAGUCUCACUGCUGCAGUCAAGGAAGGCCAAAGAAGCCACCGGGGAAAACCAACCCAUCCCGGGGACACUGGAGGCUCACUCCUUCCUCGCUGCAUUCUGAGGCUGCUGCUUUGGAGUGAGAGAUUAUCCUCUGCUUCUCCUGAAAGAGAAGGUGAUAUGCCCAGGACCCUUCCUGAGUAAGAUGUGUUCCUCAGAGGUUAAAAAAGAAAAAAAAGCCCCAAACCCCUGAAACCAAGAAAUCAAGACAGCUCUGGUGGAGAAGCUUUUGGGAACUUGCUGGGGCAGACCUCCCAGGGGACUGUGCUUGGAUUCUCAGGCCAAGGAGGAGAGAAAUAGACAAGACUGAAGCUGGAGGAGCAGCUGCUGGUUCACCCGCUGCCAAGACUUGGCAGCAGGUUCCUGGGGAAGCAGUAGGCACCUGGUUCACACAGGACCAGCACAGCUGGUCCAGCUUUUGACUGGCAGAGCGUGGCUUCCUUCGUCACCAAAGUGACUGGCCCUGUGAUUUUGCUACAGCCUGCCGAAACCGAGAGGGACACAGUGAAAGCCGUACACCUCCGCGAAGCAGGCUCCAAUCAGCUUAAAGUCCUUGCAAAGAAAGAAAUUGUGCCCUGUCUCUCAGCGUCGACCAUAGCAGAGAGCCUGGGACAUGAAUGGGUGUCAUUAUUUAUCUGCUGAACAAAUAGAAAAACAUUGUCACUGGAAAGACUGAAACUAACAUGAGUGGAAAAGAAUUGAAGCUCAAGAAGCAAAUUAUCUGGAUUUUACAGAGGAAGGAGGACAUUGAAGAUUAGAGGUUGCAUAGCCUGAC
rnacentral:lncRNA from 1 species